rnacentral:rRNA from 1 species
UACAGAGGUCUCAAGCGUUGUUCGGAUUCAUUGGGCGUAAAGGGUGCGUAGGCGGCAGUGCAAGUCAGGUGUGAAAGCCCCCGGCUCAACCGGGGAGGGUCGUCGGGGACUGCGCCGCUUGAGGUCGGCAGGGGUUGGUGGAAUUCCCGGUGUAGUGGUGAAAUGACGUAGAGAUCGGGAGGAACACCCGUGGCGAAGGCGGCCAACUGGGCCGGACCUGACGCUGAGGCGCGAAGGCGUGGGGAGCGAACGGG